UUACGGUCAUGUCACGCAGAAAUACCGGUUCUUGCCUGAUCACCGAAGUUAAGCAAUGUUGAGCCUGGUGAGUACUCAGAUGGGUGACUGCCGGGGAAUACAAGGUGCUGUGA